UACAGAGGGGGCAAGCGUUGUUCGGAAUUACUGGGCGUAAAGCGUGCGUAGGCGGUUCGUUAAGUUCGUUGUGAAAGCCCCGGGCUCAACCUGGGAACUGCAAUGGAAACUGGCGGGCUUGAGUGUGGCAGAGGGGGGUGGAAUUCCGCGUGUAGCAGUGAAAUGCGUAGAGAUGCGGAGGAACACCGAUGGCGAAGGCAGCCCCCUGGGCCAACACUGACGCUCAGGCACGAAAGCGUGGGGAGCAAACAGG
rnacentral:rRNA from 1 species